GGGAACAGUAACAUUAACAAUACAAUUCUAUGCACGCCUACUCAUUAGGAAGCCUCAUUGAGUUCAACAGAUUUAUUCGCUGUCUUGAAGAUGAACAUUGUGUUCAGGACAACAGAGAGAAUGCCAAAUAGGAUUCCCCAGUUUGAAGAUGAGUGUCAUAGAGCAAUAUGAAGAAUGAGAGGAGGCCUGCAUGUAAAUUCUUAC